GCCAGUGUGGUCUAGUGGUUUGGAUGUUGGACUAAGACUCGUGAAGACAAAGAUUCAAAUCCCUGCUCAGACA